rnacentral:rRNA from 1 species
UCGACCUUAGUUGCCAGCAUUCAGUUGGGCACUCUAAAGGUGACUGCCGGCUAAAAGUCGGAGGAAGUGGGGAUGACGUCAAAUCAUCAUGCCCCUUAUGACCUGGGCUACACACGUGCUACAAUGGGCGGUACAAAGGGUCGCGAACCCGCGAGGGGGAGCCAAUCCCAAAAAGCCGCUCUCAGUUCGGAUUGCAGGCUGCAACUCGCCUGCAUGAAGCCGGAAUCGCUAGUAAUCGCGGAUCAGCAUGCCGCGGUGAAUACGUUCCCGGGCCUU